AUUGUACUCCCUCCGUCCGGAAAUACUUGUCAUCAAAAUGGAUAAAAGGAGAUGUAUCUAGAUGUAUUUUAGUUCUAGAUACAUCCCUUUUUAUCCAUUUUGAUGACAAGUAUUUUCGGACGGAGGGAGUAUCUA
rnacentral:pre_miRNA from 1 species